UGAUUAUUUAGUUUGAAGGCUCUUGAGUUUCUGCUACUAUUUCUUGAUCCAAAUGAAGUAAGUAGGAUGAUAUUGUUGCGAUCUGUAUAAUUUAUUUUGCGAAAUUAGAGUUAAUCCUACUCGCUAUGUUGUCCUGUUCAAAGCUUCAAAUCGAAUUCUCAGCUACGUGGUUCUUCUUUUUUUUUUUUUCUUUUAAUUCUCACUAAUUUUUCGAUGUCCUCCGGAGAUCCGAUUGAUCAUUUAGGGCCACGAAAUGUUCUUCAUCUCCCUCGCCCUCUCUUCGAUCUGUUGCUACGAUCAAAUUUCGAAGAUCUGAGCGAUUUCGAAGUGAUUGAGCCGAUCGAGUUAAACUGCGAUUUUCCUAUUUGAUCAUGUGGAUUUGAUCGCACUGCUCCAAAGCUUCCUUAGGUGGUCCUCUUCACAAAUCCAAGCUCAAUCCCAAACUGCGGCACAUCGCUCCUCUUCCUCUGCUGCUUCUUGUGCUUGUUUUCGGCAAAAUUAAGCUCCAAUUCGGACGACGGAUCAAGAGAAAUCACCAUCGAUACUGAGACCUUGCGAAGAUAAGCUUGUUCAGAAUGUAUAUGUUAGCACAACAAAAUGUCAACACUCCUUGAUAGGUAUUUAUUAACUUCUUUAUUCAGAAGCAGGAACUUACACUGGGCCUCUUUAUUCAAACAGAGAGAAAAAAAAAAA